rnacentral:tRNA from 1 species
GCGACUAUAGCCCAACGGAAGAGGUAACGGACUUAAAAUCCGUCAAGUAAUGGUUCGAGUCCAUUUAGUCGCACCA